GACGAACGCUGNCGGCGUGCCUAAUACAUGCAAGUCGAGCGGACGGAUGGGAGCUUGCUCCCUGAAGUCAGCGGCGGACGGGUGAGUAACACGUGGGCAACCUGCCUGUAAGACUGGGAUAACUUCGGGAAACCGGAGCUAAUACCGGAUAAUGCAUAACCUCUCAUGAGGUUAUGCUGAAAGAUGGUUUCGGCUAUCACUUACAGAUGGGCCCGCGGCGCAUUAGCUAGUUGGUGAGGUAACGGCUCACCAAGGCAACGAUGCGUAGCCGACCUGAGAGGGUGAUCGGCCACACUGGGACUGAGACACGGCCCAGACUCC
rnacentral:rRNA from 1 species